AAUAAACUAACAAAAAUUAAUUAAAACAUGACAAUUUUUUACUUAUUUUCUCAUUUUACGACAUUCAUGAUGACGUUACGAUUGUAAACAAACUCGAGCUCGAAGACGCACACUGUAGGCCUACGAUGUCGCAUUCAGUGUAUUCUAAAGCAGUCCAGAAACAUACAUGGGCGAUUCGUUAGAAGUAAAACGCAGUUAUAGAUCAGUCUGCAUCCGAUAUUCUCACAAGUGAGUGGCAGACAAAGAAAAUUACAGACAAGCAGGCACAACCACGCACAUGGUGACACACUACAGUACUGUACAUAGUGUCAGACGAGAGGGGGGAAUGAAGGAUGUUAGCGAUGUAGUACCCGAAUCAGAGGCUGCUGAUAUAGUAUUGAAUGAAUUUCUACAUCCAUUUGGUAACCACAGUGAGAGGGAUGAGUCGUGCUAUCAUCAUAUGAAGAACCAUACCAGGAAGUGCAGAUUUCUUCCUCAAGGCCACAUGGAAGUUGACUGUUAAAAGUAGUUUCUGGAUAAUAACUCAAAUACUUUGCAUUCUAUUCAAACCAAAUUUGGACAUAUGGAUACAUACAAAGACUGCAAGAUGCCUAUCAAUUUUGGGGUCAGAAGGUCAAAGAUCAAGAUCACAGUGCAUGGAAAUUAGAAAAUGCUGAUGCGGGGGCAUAUGUUUUUACACAAUCUGUAGUUAUAAAUGAAUUAGUAUUGUAUAUAUGCAUAUAUUAUUUAUGUUUUCUGAUUAUUUAUCAUAUAAUGAAAUAAAUAUAUAGAAUUUGUAAAUAUGAAUUGAAAAAUACACAUUUUAUAACAAAUCAUAUAUUGUUAUUGUUUAGAAUGUAUGUCAGUGUAAGAAGGGGGGUGGGGACACAAAAUGGUUCAAAUCUUUGUUCCAAUGCACACUACCCCACACGUUUUUUUUUCAUUUAAAUUAAGCAAAAAUAUGAUUCAAAUCUACAUUAGUAAUUUCAGAAAAAGUUUGAUACAGAUAUUCUCCCUAGGUUGAAUUUUUUUUAUGAAAUAGGUCUUCAAAUUUGUGUGAUAUUUUAUACAAUUAUGUUAAUUAAUACUUGAUUUUUUUGUAGAAUUGGUGAUAUAUUUUAUGUAAAAGUUAUUGAAAUAAUCAAUUAUGCUUAAUUUUCAUAAAAUAAAAGAAAGCCAAGAUUAUUCUGUCCUUAAUAUUUGUUUUAUAGUGUGUUUCUUGUGAAAAUUGGUGAUUUUCAUGAAAAAUUAAGUUUCAGCAAAGGGGCAGCUUUGAGGGGCUGUAAUUCUUUAAAGUCCACACUAACAUACUCUUUUUUUAUGUUUUAAAUGUCUUUCGGAUAAAGAUGUAUCAGUUAAAAUGGUUUAUCAAAAAAGUUUGAUACUUCUGAAAAAAUUCAAACCAGGAGAGAACAUCCUUAAGUUAUUUAUUAUGCACUAAUACUAGACAGAUUCCUAAACACAGAAACAGUUUUUGUUUACAGUAAAGUGAAGAAAUGUGUUGACUCAUCAUAUAACUUUUAUUUGAUUACUAAAUAACCACUUUAUCUUAUGCUUGGUAGAAUACUAAAUCAUCAGAAAAUUAUUCAACCUAUAAAAACAAAACAAAAAAACCUACCUACCGACCCUUAACAUUUUUGAGGUGAAAGUGGAAACUAACAUUUUUUUUUUUUUUUGGCCUAAACAGUUUGAUUUAUACAACCCUAGCAUAGCAUAGCAUAGCGGCAAAUAAAUAAAACGAGUUAAAAAUCAGUGUCACUGGCGGAUUUAAUUCAUUGAAUAGGCUAUGAACCAAUGGGGUCCAUCGGUAAAGGGACUGGUUCACGAUUUUUGAAAGAAAGAAAAAACUUUUUUCAUUUUUUAUGUUAAACAUUAAAAAUAUAACUCAUUUAAUGUUGGCAGCCAAAAAUCUGACCUUCUAAAUGCAAGAAUAAUAACAAUAUUUUAGCCUUAAAUCUGUGUUGUGUAAACAAAGACUCGAGUCUUUAUAAGUAAAUAAACAAACCAGUGAAAUAUUAAUUUUGUAAUAUAAAGCAUCUUAAUUUUGCAUAGUCACAAAUUUUAUCAUUUAGAUGACACAUUUUAUUCAAAGAAUGCUUAAAAUGUGAAAGAUAUAAUAAACUUGGAUCGAUAUCCAUUUCUUUUGAAAAUUUUGUUAACAAUAACAUACCGCAAACUUUGUUUACAAAACAAAUAAUAAACUAUCUAAAAUGAGCUUCUGUGAUAAUUAUGUAUUAUAACCUUAAUUUUUAUGUGAAAUCUUUUAAACACACUAGAAGAAGAUUUUGAUCAUUAAAAGUGAAAAACAAAUCGCGAAUCAGUCCCUUUUUAAAUAGGCAGGGGCCGGGUAUAUGCCAUGCCCCCCUGAAAUUUUCAAAUUUUAAUGCAAUUGAUUGAUUGUAUAUUGUUUAAUGUCCCUCUUGAGAAUAUUUCACUCCUAAGGAGACGUCAACAUUGCUGGUGAAGGGCUGCAAUAUUUAGGCCUAUGCUCGGCGCUUACGGCCUUUGAGCAGGGAGGAAUCAAUAUCGUGCCACACCUGCUAUGACACGGGGCCUCGGGUUUUUUAUGGUCUCAUCCGAAGGACCGCCCGAGCCCCCAUUUAGUAGCCUCUUACGACAAGCAAAGGGUACUUAACUGAGGACCUAUAUUCUAACCCAGAUCCCCACGGGAAUUUUAUGGCCUUUAUUUAUCAUAAUUAUAUCCUCACAAGUGACUUCAGAUUAUAACUUUAUAACAUGAUUUACACUUAAUGUGAACAAGAUAUUCGUUUUAAACCAGAUUUUAUUGUCAAAACACAGUAAAACACGGGAGCUGACGGGAACUUUGCCCCCUGGGCCCCCACUGGGACUUUGACCAGGAUCCACUGGGGGCCUUAAAGCGGGUUCCAGAUCCCUGUCCUUCAUAUUUUCCCCACUCCCCUAUGUACAAUGAAAUCCUACAUCUGCCCAUGUGUCUGAAAGAACCAUAUACAUGUAUCGGUAAUUUUUAAAUGACCUAUGGCCUGGACCCUACUGUAAUUAAAUACUGAACAGGAAGCAAAUUACUUUUAAAAUAACAAAUAUUUAAUUGAAAUCAUAUGUUGACUACUAUUUAGGUUAUAUUAUCUGGAGUAGUACUGCGUGGGUGAUUUAUCCUUUAGAGAAAAUCAUCAUGUGUUAGUAACCUGAAAACUUCGGGUUCAAAACAGUAUGCAUUGUAAAUCUAUACUAGGCCCCAUUACAUCUCGGCGUAUACACAUUUAAACUGGUAACUCUCAUACAGAACAUUCUACGGUGCAUUAACUAAUAAAGUCUUACGGGCCUACCUUAGUUUAUAGUUAUAUUCCAUUGACGC